UCCUGCAUGGACCGCAUGAUGUUCUCCAUGGUGGGAUAUCGCCGCUCCGAGUUGUUCGACUCUUAUCUGCAAAUGUUCCACAAGAUUGUUACAGAUUAUUACAACUGUGCUGGGCAUCGACCAUUGGAAGAUCCGGCUUUUAAACAGUGCAGUAAACAAUUCAGCAUGCAGAAAACGUGUUUUUAAUUAAAACAUAAAUAAUGAUUCAA